rnacentral:rRNA from 1 species
AUUGAACGCUGGCGGCAUGCUUUACACAUGCAAGUCGAACGGUAACGCGGGGCAACCUGGCGACGAGUGGCGAACGGGUGAGUAAUGCAUCGGAACGUGCCCGGUAGUGGGGGAUAAGUGCUCGAAUGAGCAGCUAAUACCGCAUACGACCUGAGGGUGCAAGGGGGGGAGGGCAGGACCCCUCGCCAGUGGUGUGCGCGAGGUUGGUUUCGCUGGUUGGUGGGGUAAGGGCCCACCACGCCGACGAUCCGUAGCUGGUCUGAGAGGACGACCGGCCACACUGGGACUGAGACACGGCCCAGACGCCUACGGGAGGCAGCAGUGGGGAAUUUUGGACAAUGGACGCAAGUCUGAUCCAGCCAUGCCGCGUGCGGGAAGAAGGCCUUCGGGUUGUAAACCGCUUUUGUCAGAGAAGAAAUCUUCUGGGUUAAUACCUCGGGAGGAUGACGGUAUCUGAAGAAUAAGCACCGGCUAACUACGUGCCAGCAGCCGCAGUAAGAC